AACUUGAGAAGUGGGGAAAUAAGAAAAGAAAGGGAAAAUAAGGAAGGCAGGGGGGAACUUGAGAAGUGGGGAACUGAGAAAGAAAGAAAGGAUAAGCGAGUGACGAGAGAAAGAGAAGCGGAGAGGGAGAAGAAGAAGAAAAGUGAGUUGAGAGGAAGAAGCUGCCGCCACUGCGGUCCGCGUUCACGUCGUCGUCGUAGCGCCGCCAUCCUUGCGCCAGUCGCUGCCGCUGUCGGCGAUGAAGCCCGUCGCCGCCAUUCGCGCCUCUAUCGCCGCCAGAACUACACGCCGUCGCUGGAGUCUGAACGCCGCUGCAACCACCACGUGUUAUCAUCUACAGAUCCGCCGCCGUUUGAGUCGCGAACAGGGGAACACGCGUGAAGGAAACUGUCGCGGAGCUGUCGUCGCCGCCGCGUUGAUGGGCUCGCCGUCGUUCUGCUCGCGUGGCUGCUGCAUUGCCGGAGCUCCUCGUCGCUGCUGGCGCCGGAAAGUGCCUUUCAAGCCUGUAUCUGUUGGGAGGAGUCCGAGCAAGAAAAGGAAAAAGGUGGCGAUGGAUACCUCUACUGCUGCUGCUGUUACUAUCGGUGUUCCGGAGCUUGCAGUUACUGCCGUGUUUGGGAGAUGAACCUGGUUGUGUCCUGGCUGCUAAUUGAUUGUAGAGAGAGACGUUGUAGCCACUACUUUUCAUCUUGAGUCACUAUUGUCAUAUCUCGGCGCUGCCGCCCUUGUUUGGAACUACUGAAUGUUGUUGUCUCCGCCACUGUCGAUUUAUCUAUUGCAAAUUCAUAAUUGAUAAUGGAGCUGCUAAGAUCGCUGCUGCUGCCAUGAACUGGGGAUAAAGGGGAUUAUUGAGCUAAAUUGUGCGAUUGAGACAUCGAGCUUUACCUUUUCAGGAACCGGAUGAAGAAGCAUUAAGAAGAGUUAUACUGUGUUUGGUUUAUAAGAUGUUGUA